rnacentral:lncRNA from 1 species
UGUUGAAACGUGUCGUUCCUUUCUAACUGUAAUACAGGAGAAGUAGCUAGUUGUUUCCCUCUCCCAGUAUCCACAGAAUUGGGUACCUUAUUUUGCAAGCAUCUUCCCCAAAACAGUGGAUGCAGCUAUUAUAUCUGUAUGGCAACAGUGGCAUGCAAGAACAGAUUCUAAGCACAUCAAAUUGGAUCCCUUAAGAAGGGGACCAAAACAACUGUUAUUCCAUCACUAUUUUCAACCGCCAAAAGUCCCACACUGUUGCACUAAGUGAGGACCAAACCACACAUUUUGAACUAUAUCAGCAUGAACCACGAUUCAAAGCUACUCAGCCAUUAUCCAUUUACAAGUUUAGGGGUUGGGGGAGAUGAACGUUUGAAUCAUAUUUAUGCACGUUUUUUAUUGACUUUCAACCCAUGACUACUGACCAAUUUUCUACCUCUGACAGCAACCAUAGUUUUAGUAAUAUCAAAA